rnacentral:lncRNA from 1 species
GGGUGACUGAUUGUCCCUGCCAGCUGGCUAAUAUCAUAAUUAGCAAACUUGCUACUACAUCCGCAAAGUUUAAUCGAAAAAUUUACCAGUGGUACGAUGGCAUUGUCAUCAAGAUCACCAGGGUCUCGGAGUCGACUCCUGCUCCAGGUUGGAACGGCAAGCUAUGUAGCUGAAAAAUUGUGAAACUUGUUCAGCCAAA